UACGGGGGGGGCAAGCGUUGUUCGGAAUUACUGGGCGUAAAGGGCUCGUAGGUGGCCAACUAAGUCAGACGUGAAAUCCCCAGGCUCAACUUGGGAACUGCGUCUGAUACUGGAUGGCUUGAAUUCGGGAGAGGGAUGCAGAAUUCCAGGUGUAGCGGUGAAAUGCGUAGAUAUCUGGAGGAAUACCGGUGGCGAAGGCGGCAUCCUGGACCGAGAUUGACACUGAUGAGCGAAAGCUGGGGGAGCAAACGGG
rnacentral:rRNA from 1 species